AAACUGGAACAAAAUGGACACUGGCCAAAAGCAGGCAGAAAAUUGCGACAAGUUGACUCAUGAAUGACUAUUACAGUACGGGGUAAAACAAAACAAAACAAAAACCUGUGAGUUAAUGUACCUGGGACCACUCCACAAUCCCCUUCCCUAGUCACACACUGGCAUCAGUGACUUGAAGGGGAAAAUGAUAGCUUCGCAGGGCAGCUGGACAUUUUAAGGGAAAAUUUGAAAGCAAGAGAACCACAGAAAAUCUAAAAUAAAGUCUGAAUAAAAUAAAGUCUGAGCAUGAACCUCCGUUCAAAUCACUGGCUGAGCACGAAACUACACACGCACCCAACAAUUCCAGACAGCUGCAAGAAAAAGCAGGCAGCAUUCGCAGGAGGAGUCCAUACUUGCCAGUCACAACUGCCUCUGGUAAGAGUUUUGAGUUUUCAUGCCUUUGACCUAGUGUAUUUCCCAACAUACAUAGUUCCUGCCGCAGAGAGUGACAAUCCUACUGGCUUCAGGUGUCAUGACACGGAACUUAGGUCUGGCACAGCAACGGGAAAUGUAAGAAACAAAAGCCGGAAUCGGGGGAGGGAGAGCGCCCUGGGAGGAGUCCCCUGGACACAGAAGAACGUUCUCUCCUCUUGAUGCGUCAGAGAGAAGAGGCUGAACCGAGGAAGUGAUGGUGGAGAUGGAAAGAAGGUGGUUUCGUAGGGGGAAGGUCAGUCACUGGGCCAGCGUGCACGUGCAGGCACAAACACCUCAGAGAACAAACAGCACUUCUGUCAACGCGGUCUGUCUCAAGAGAGUGGCAUAAAAAGAUGAAACCAAUCGGUUAGUUGAACGCAGUGUCGGAAACAUUCUGUUGCCCCAGCAAACCGCACGGAGUGUUGACGAAGCGGGAAUGUAGGCGGCUUCCUCCGCAGACACCGAGGGGUUGGAGGGGGGGAGAUGCCCUGCGGCCCUGGCAGCCUGCCCAGCGGACACCAAGUGAGCCUGGACCGUGGGAAGUGUCACUGGACGGUUACACAGAUAGAGCAGCACCCCCUCCUACCAUGGGGGAUGCAUUCCAAGACCCCCGACUGGAUGCCCAAAACCUCAGAUAGUACUGAACCUUAUGUAUACUGUUUUUUCCUACACAUCGCACCUGUGAUAAGGUUGAAUUUAUACAUUAGGCACAGUGAGGGAUGACCGACAGCGACUAAUAAUAACAUAGAAGAAGUAUAACGAUAAACUGUAAUGAAACUUACGUGAAGGUGGUCUCUGUCUCUUAUUGUACUGUACUCACCCUUGCUUCUUGUGAUGCUGUGAGAUGAGAGAAUGCCUACGUGCUGUGAUGAGGGAGGGGAAUGACGUGGGUGUAUGACAUAACUCUAGGCGGCUAUUGACCUUCUGACUAUACAUUAGAAUGAGGACCAUCUGCUCCCAGAUGGAGAUUGACCAGGGGUAACUGAAACUGUAGAAACCGAAACCAUGAUAAAGGGGACUACUGUGCACAGGAAGCCAAGAAGCCUCCUGGGCCCAUGUACCUGUUGUCCUUUGGGAAGCUUUUAUAUUUUAAAUAUAAAAUAGAGCUACAUUUAUGGCUGAAUACUAUUCCAUUGCACAUGUAUGCUAUCGCGUGUGUAAUCUAAAAGAGUCAAACUCAUAAAAAACAGAGUAAAAUGGUGGUUGCCAGGGGAUGGGCGUGGGAGGGUAAGACUGAUGAUGUUUAAGGGUAUAAACUUGGGGGCGCCUGGGUGUCUGA